AUGUACUGUAUGUCUAUGUUGGGCAAUUACUACAUCGCCGGUCAGACUAUUGUGCAAGCCAGCGUCGUCCAGAAGCACACAAAGGUCUCCGGCCCUGUCAUCGUCGACGGGAGCAUUAACAAGACAAGGACGGACAAUCAGACAAUAACCCCCAUCAUCGUUGACGCCGAGAUCACAGAGACGAAGGAGAACCGCUCGACCACACUAGACGCCAAAAGAACUUCCGAGGGCAGGAAUAACGUGUCCACCACAACGGGCGGCGAGAUCAAGGUGGUAACAGUGGAGGAGAUGGAAACGGCAAGGGCGCAGAUCAGGGAGCUGGAGCAAAAGCUGCAGCAGAAGGAGACCCUUGUCGUCAAGGUCGCAGAGCUGGAGCUGGAGCUGCAGGAGAAGGAGAGCCUGGUAGUCCGCGUCACGGAGAUGGAGCAGGAGCUCCAGCAGAAGGAGAGCCUGGUCGUCCGCAUCACAGAGAUGGAGCAGGAGCUCCAGCACAAGGAGAACCUGGUCAUCCGCAUCACCGAGAUGGAGCGAAAGCUCCGGCACAAGGAGAACGUCGUGGUCAGCCUCCGUUCGGAGCUGGAGCAGCAGCGCAAGAGCUGCGACGAGAAGUGCGCCGUGUGCGACGCCAGCGUGAAGAGGUGCGGCCAGAUGGUCGAGAUGUGGAAGGCCCAGGUCGUGGAGCUGCUGGGCGCCGUGGAGGAAGACAAAGUGAUCCAGCAGACUGUCGCCAACUGA
rnacentral:rRNA from 1 species